AUUGAACGCUGGCGGCAGGCCUAACACAUGCAAGUCGAGCGGAUGAAGGGAGCUUGCUCCUGGAUUCAGCGGCGGACGGGUGGGUAAUGCCUAGGAAUCUGCCUGGUAGUGGGGGAUAACGUCCGGAAACGGGCGCUAAUACCGCAUACGUCCCGAGGGAGAAAGUGGGGGAUCUUCGGACCUCACGCUAUCAGAUGAGCCUAGGUCGGAUUAGCUAGUUGGUGGGGUAAAGGCCUACCAAGGCGACGAUCCGUAACUGGUCUGAGAGGAUGAUCAGUCACACUGGAACUGAGACACGGUCCAGACUCCUACGGGAGGCAGCAGUGGGGAAUAUUGGACAAUGGGCGAAAGCCUGAUCCAGCCAUGCCGCGUGUGUGAAGAAGGUCUUCGGAUUGUAAAGCACUUUAAGUUGGGAGGAAGGGCAGUAAGUUAAUACCUUGCUGUUUUGACGUUACCAACAGAAUAAGCACCGGCUAACUUCGUG
rnacentral:rRNA from 1 species